GCAAACUUGGUCAUUUAGAGGAAGUAAAAGUCGUAACAAGGUAUCCGUAGGUGAACCUGCGGAUGGAUCAUUACCAAUUUUUAAUAUUAGUUCUAGAUCGAGGGUCAAACCGACGUCUAUGAAACUACUAUGUAAACGUUGAACUAGAUCAUUGGUUGUGGAUUGCUUGGGAAUGGGAGAAGCGACAAGCCUCUCCCGGACAGGCAAACCCCACACCGAUAACCUUUUCAUAUACUUACAACUAGUACAUACUACAAACAAACACAAAAACAAAAGCUAUAAUAGGACUUAUUAUAGGCUGAGUGGGUAAAAGCCUCAGCUCUAAAACUAAUAACUAUUACAACUUUCAGCAAUGGAUCUCUAGGCUCUCGCAUCGAUGAAGAACGCAGC
rnacentral:misc_RNA from 1 species